GACCCCGAAGGAAGGAUCAGCGCUAUUUUUGACCUUGAGACCCCCCACCCCCACGUCGUCAUCUUCCCUACAUCCCUAACGAGACCUAGCGUGAAUCAACCAAAAGCUAGCGCCGUUCAACCCAAACGACCCCUGCUCUCUCCUUUCACCUCAAACCAAACGACCCCAUCUCCGCCCUACCAUAUCGAACCAGCAGCCAUACACACACACGCAUAGAAACGAGAAAGGGACAGUAGCUGCGAGUUAGGUUCGACCGAGGUUCUAGUCGCCUAGUUCAUUUCAUUAUUGUUUCGUCCAAAUUCCGGCAGAAUCCAGUUGGUUUUCCGUCGAAGUUCCUAUUUUUCCGGCGAGAUCCGUUCGAAGCUUCCGAUUUGAGGUCAGUUUGAAGUCGCCGUUUGAGGUUUUCCGGUCGCUGGUUCUGUUCUUCACUGAAAUUUCACGGUGGAAAUUUUUUAUUAUUGUGAAAGGAAAUUUUCCUCAUUAAGGUGAUAACUAUCAAUGGUAUGUUUCCUGAACCUCUUCUAAAUGCUUCCACCAAUGAUAAUAUUCAUGUCAAUGUGUUCAACGAUAUGGAUCAAUAUCCUGUUCUCAUUACAUGGUAAAUUAUCUUCUUUAAUUUACUACCACUAUUUAUUUAAUGGAUAUUAUGUUUACGUUGUUGCUAAUUAAAUAGACAUUUCUUCUUAUUCUCUGCAUUUACUGUUUCAUCAGUACAGACUAUUGAGAUUAGAGGGGGCGGUUAUAAUUGUCCUUUGAUAAGCUCUAGUUGCAGUGGAAUCUUCAUCUUUAUUAGACCGUUUUUGUUUUUUUGUUUACAAACUUUAAACUUUACAUAUAUUUAUUAAUAACAAAUUAGUACCCGUAUAUAGUAUGACUAUAUUCUGAUCCUAACUGAUUUUUGGAUUGAGGUUUAAUUGGUUGAUUUUGCGUUUAUGAUUCUAGAAAAUUUGGCGAAAUCUGGUUAUUUUUGUCUAUUCAUGUUAGAGUAAGUUGAGGUAUGCCAUCAAAUCACAUAAUCUAUGGCCCUCAUAUUAAUUUUACAAUUUAGUGUAGAAAGCCUUUAGGGCCGUUUAAAAUACAAUUGUGAUUGUGUACACGUUCGCGUGACAUGAUUACAAUUCUAAAAACCAAUUCGGAGUAUGCGUUCGCGCAACUUCGAACAAACCUUCAUAAUAAUAAAAAUGGAUUUUCGUAGGUUUUUAAUUAAAUUAGCUCAUAUAGUCCGAGGUGUGCCGUUUACCAUUUAAUCAUACAAAAUGACAAAUGUUCGUAGUUUGCUUUAGGCACGCGCAACUUUGGCCAAACUUUUUUUUUUAUAAUAAUAAAGCGUUAUUAAUUGUGGACACGUUCACGUGACAUGAUUUUUUUGACGCGCCAAACAAAUGGUUACACGUACGCGUGACCCGUUUCAAGAUAAUUUUCUUAAUUAAAAAGCGGUAAAGGAUAAAUGCAUAUAGGAUCUAAAGUCAGUAAUUAAACAAUUUUAAUAAGCCAAGUAUGAUCAAAGCGACCGUGCUAGAACCACGGAACUCGGGAAUGCCUAACACCUUCUCUCGGGUUAACAGAAUUCCUUACUCGGAGUUCUGGUUCGCAGACUGUAAUACAGAGUCAAUCUUUUCCUCGACUCGGGAUUUGAACCGGUGACUUGGGACACCAUAAAUCUCCCAAGUGGUGACUUGAUUUUUAAAUAAAUAAACAAUCCCGUUUCGUUUGUCCUUUAAUUGGAAAAACUCUCUUAUAUUUAUACCCUUUACGGGAUGUAGUAAAAAGGAGGUGUGACAGAUGGCUCUCGAGAUGCAGAUCAUAUAUCGCACCUUAGUCAUACUUGAGUUUUGUAGCGUAUGACGCUAUCUGUCUCCCCGAGAAUUUCAUUAUGCACUUCGCGUGCUUGUGGUUGAUAUUCGGGUAUUUUACAGGUAUGAGCAUUUUAGCUCGAUAAGUAAUUCCUUUAUAGAUUAUUAUGUGUUGAUCGGGUGGCACUCCACCAUCGGUACAUUGUUUAGAUCGGGUUGCACGCCGCCACGGGUACCAUGGUUGGAUCGGGUUGCACACUGCAAUGGUAUUAUGUGUGGAUCGGUUUGUACGCUGCAACAAUGUGAUCUUGAGUAUAGUUUCCCAUAUCUAUUCUGGUGUGUUUUGUUUCUCAUUUUCUGAGAAAGGUUCAUAACACUUUUUGGAUGCUAAUUAGUUAAGUGGGUUGAGUAGUUCUUUCCAGAGUUCAUAUUUCCCUUUGGUAUGACAUUCGAUUUUGUAGCUUGUUGGCACAUUGUGGCAUCAUAUGAGACUUUUGGCAAUGUCUGAGGUGGUUUAUUGCUUGAGCAACUUGUACUGGGUGAGACGAGAUUAUUGGACCUGGGAUUAGUGCGAUCAGAUUUAUAUGAAGCAUUACAGAGCAAAUAUAGAUAUUCAGUCCAGGAUGAGGUAAUAGUUCUUGUUAAGAGGAGAAACUUAAUGAAUUGUUGAGCAAAUAUACAUUGUGUGGGCAUUUGCGACAUUUGCGACUGGAGCCAAGGGCUUUUUAUUCCUAGACUUAGCCCAUUUCCCUCAUUUCCCACUUGGAAUUAGGCAAUUUUUGAGAGCAUUUAUAGAGGGGAUUCCAUCAUCAUCAAAAGGUAAGUGAUUUCUUCUAGUUGUGAGUUAAAUACAAGGUUUAUGGAUUUAGACAUAAAAAUUUGUAAAAAAUUUGGGAUUUUGAAGAAAAACCUAGAAAUUGGUAUUCUUGGAUUUUGACCACGAAUUGGGGCAUGAAAUUUGAAUUAUAUAUUUGAGUUCGUGGGGUUAUGGAUAAAGUUUAUCUUCGAAAAUUUUCGGAAUCGGGCACGUGGGCCCGAAGGUGAUUAUUAUCGACUUUUCGAACGGAGUUGGAAAUUAUUUUAAAUAGAAUUAUAAGGAGUAUUAGAGUGCUUGGGAGCCGACUAUGGAACUUCAGAGCGAGAUACGUCUCCUUUCUAACCUUGUAAGAGGGAAUUAACCUCAUAGGUGAAAUAAAUUAAUAUGUGCUUCUAAUUGUGGGGGCUACUUACAUACGAGGCGACGAGAGUCCAUACGUAGCUUCUAGCUAUGCCUAUGUCCGGGUAGUUUUAGGUUUACAUCAUACCUUGUUGAUAUUGUUUUUUGAUUUAUGGUUAUUGUUUGCCUUGAGAAGAAGCAAGAUUGAGGUUUACAUCAUGCCUUGUUACACUUUGUAUUUUCAAAAAGAAUUGAAGAGUAUUAUAAUAACUUAAGAAAUCUAUGUGUAACCGCGUCACAAUUAUAUUCCUCGAGCGGGGUAAAUUUGCACUACUCUCAUUGGAGCGGGUCGUUCACCUCAGCAGAUUAAAUAGAUGCAUCUAUGGUUCGGGCCAUUCAACCCUCGGCAGUGCACAAUUUAUAUUUAUAUGUUAGUUCGUGUCGUUUGACCCUCGACAGUGCACAAUUUAUAUUUACAUUUUGGAUACUGCUUCAUUUAUACUGCUAUGGUUUAGAAUUUAUAAUAAUUGAUACUACUUCAUUGGUCUGAGAUAUAAAUUUAUAAAUGAUGAAAAAUGAAUUUGAAAAAUUCUUAUCAAUAAAAGAAUUGUUUACUUACUUCAUGAUAUUGAGCUUACAACCAUUCUAUGUAACCCAUGGUUAAAUAUAUCAUUGUUAUAUUAUUGUUGGCCCAUAGUAAGUGGCGGAGUCGACCUUUCGUCACUACUUCUUCGAGGUUAUACUGUAUACUUACUGUAUAUGUGUUGAAUUACGUACUCAUACUACACCUACUGCAUAUUUUAUUGUGCAGGUGCAUAGAUGUCUCAUGGCUUUGUGGGUGCAGUGGCACAAUUGAUAUGGGGGCUUAGGUGAGCUGCAUCUUAUGUUACGAUCCGCACCUAGCAGUGUCUCCUUCAGAGUAUUUAUAUCUUCUUUCCUUUCCAAAUUUGUAUUUUGGAUAGAUGUUGUAUUUUAUUUUAUUUCUCAGUUGAUGCUCAUGCACUUGUGACACCAGGUUUUGGGGUGAUUAUGGGUCGUUCAGUAUAGAAAUUGUUAAAACAUUGUUAUUUACAC
rnacentral:lncRNA from 1 species